rnacentral:rRNA from 1 species
GUCGGAUUAGCUAGUUGGUGGGGUAAAGGCCUACCAAGGCGACGAUCCGUAACUGGUCUGAGAGGAUGAUCAGUCACACUGGAACUGAGACACGGUCCAGACUCCUACGGGAGGCAGCAGUGGGGAAUAUUGGACAAUGGGCGAAAGCCUGAUCCAGCCAUGCCGCGUGUGUGAAGAAGGUCUUCGGAUUGUAAAGCACUUUAAGUUGGGAGGAAGGGCAGUAAGUUAAUACCUUGCUGUUUUGACGUUACCAACAGAAUAAGCACCGGCUAACUUCGUGCCAGCAGCCGCGGUAAUACGAAGGGUGCAAGCGUUAAUCGGAAUUACUGGGCGUAAAGCGCGCGUAGGUGGUUCAGCAAGUUGGAUGUGAAAUCCCCGGGCUCAACCUGGGAACUGCAUCCAAAACUACUGAGCUAGAGUACGGUAGAGGGUGGUGGAAUUUCCUGUGUAGCGGUGAAAUGCGUAGAUAUAGGAAGGAACACCAGUGGCGAAGGCGACCACCUGGACUGAUACUGACCCUGAGGUGCGAAAGCGUGGGGAGCAAACAGGAUUAAAUACCCCGGGUAGUCC